rnacentral:lncRNA from 10 species
GAUGAAUCCUGUGAACCCAGGAGUUCGAGAUCAGCCUCAACAACAUGAAAGACGUGACUUACUCUGAAAUGUUAUACCUCACCUAUGCUGGCAUCUAAGAAUCAAAAAUUUAAGGUGUGUAAAGUACCUAGCCCAGCCUAUACCCAUCACAACACUGUCACUUGGCUGCCGGUUCCCAUUCAUGGUACCUAUUCCUGUUACUUUGUAUCUGAUCUGAAAAU